AGUGAACGCUGGCGGCAGGCCUAACACAUGCAAGUCGAACGAGUGGCGGACGGGUGAGGAAUGCAUAGGAAUCUACUAUGUGGAGGGGGAUAACUUAGGGAAACGGAGGCUAAUACCGCAUACGAGUCAAUUAGCCGAGGUCGGAUUGGCUAGUUGGGGGGGUAAAGGGUCACAAAGGCGACGAUCCGUAGCUGGUCUGAGAGGAUGAUCAGCCAAACUGGAACUUAGACACGGUCCAGACUCCUACGGGAGGCAGCAGUGGGGAAUAUUGCACAAUGGGCGCAAGCCUGAUGCAGCCAUGCCGCGUGGGUGAAGAAGGCCUUCGGGUUGUAAAGCCCUUUUGUUGGGGAAGCGGUACCCAAAGAAUAAGCACCGGCUAACUACGUGCCAGCAGCCGCGGUAAUAC
rnacentral:rRNA from 1 species